rnacentral:rRNA from 1 species
UACGUAGGGGGCGAGCGUUGUCCGGAAUUAUUGGGCGUAAAGAGCGUGUAGGCGGUUCGGUAAGUCUGCUGUGAAAUCUUGGGGCUCAACCCUGAGCGUGCAGCGGAUACUGCCGGGCUAGAGGGUGGUAGAGGCGAGUGGAAUUCCGAGUGUAGCGGUGAAAUGCGCAGAUAUUCGGAGGAACACCAGUAGCGAAGGCGGCUCGCUGGGCCACACCUGACGCUGAGACGCGAAAGCGUGGGGAGCGAAC